AUUGAACGCUGGCGGCAGGCCUAACACAUGCAAGUCGAGCGGGGACUUCGGUCCUAGCGGCGAACGGGUGAGUAAUGCUUGGGAAUCUGCCCAGUAGUGGGGGAUAACGUCCCGAAAGGGACGCUAAUACCGCAUUCGUCCUACGGGAGAAAGAGGGGGAUCUUCGGACCUCUCGCUAUUGGAUGAGCCCAAGUCGGAUUAGCUAGUUGGUAGGGUAAUGGCCUACCAAGGCGACGAUCCGUAGCUGGUCUGAGAGGAUGAUCAGCCACACUGGAACUGAGACACGGUCCAGACUCCUACGGGAGGCAGCAGUGGGGAAUAUUGGACAAUGGGCGAAAGCCUGAUCCAGCCAUGCCGCGUGUGUGAAGAAGGCCUUCGGGUUGUAAAGCACUUUAAGCGGGGAGGAAGGUUCGCGGCCUAAUACGUCGCGGAAUUGACGUUACCCGCAGAAUAAGCACCGGCUAACUCUGUG
rnacentral:rRNA from 1 species